rnacentral:rRNA from 1 species
GUUAGAAGCCUCUAGUUGGCAGAAUAAUGUAGGUAAGGGGAAGUCGGCAAAAAUAGAUCUGUAACUUCGGGAAAAAGAUUGGCUCUAAAGGCUGAGUAUAUGGGCUAUAUCAAUAAGUUAUUGGAGAUUAGGUUGUUACGAUUGGCUGUCAUGGUUGAUUGUGAUGGCUUAGUUGAAGGUGAUGGAUGGGUGUAGGCAACUGUCAAAGGUUGUGCUGUAUACAAUUAACAGCUAAUUUAGAACUGUUACUGACCAGGGGAAUCCGACUGUUUAAUUAAAACAAAGCAUUGUGAUGUUCUCAAUAAGGAUUUUAACACAAUGUGAUUUCUGCCCAGUGCUCUGAAUGUCAAAGUGAAGAAAUUCAAACAAGCGCGGGUAAACGGCGGGAGUAACUAUGACUCUCUU